UUGUUUAUCUACACGUUUGUUCGAUCGAGUGCUGUAUUCGUGCUUUAAACUAGCGAUUACAGAGUUUACGUGUAGCGAAGCUGCUGUGAACAUGGUUUACAAAUGUUGUGUGCCAAGGUGUCGUGGGAAUUACGGAACUGGACCGAAAGUAAUGUUUUCCUUUCCGAAAGAUGCGAAUCUGCGUUGGAAAUGGCUUUCAGCGAUUCAUCGGGACAAUUUCCAACCCACUGAGCACACGAAGAGUGCUGCUUUCGCAAGGUGUGAUGGACAUAAUGGAAGUUGGGAGAUGAAGUACUGGCGGACGUAAACCUCUGAAGGUGGCCCGUGAGUCGUGAUGGGAUGGCUCAAUGGCUGGAGCAUUUGCCCACGUAGGGCAAAAGUCCCAGUCUGGCAUACAGUGCGCCAAUUUAAAACUUGCUGUCAGAUUAGAACACUUUGCUACAGAGCGAAAAUGCAUUCUGGAAACUUAACGAAUCGUUUAUGGGUGCAAUUUCAUUUUUGUUUUAUUAUACAUUAGUGGUAGUUGUUGUGGUCUUGAGUCCUGAGACUGGUUUGAUGCAGCUCUCCAUGCUACUCUAU
rnacentral:misc_RNA from 1 species